AGACAGGAAAUAAGCUUUCCUGCUUGAGUAGGAAAUGCAGGCAACUUGAACUCACAAGAAAGAAGUCAGAAAGUGUACUACUCCCUAUAAAAAGGGGAAGACUUGUGGAAAAUACACCAUUUUUUGCCUGUCUCAGUGAAAGCUAGAAAGCAAAUCUCUUCACACUUCUUGAGAGAGAAGGUUGUGUCCAGACUUGAAAAUUAAGGAAGUCCCACAGCCUUUCUGAGCUUUACACUGGGAGGAAAAUGAACUGCCUGAGCAGAGGAUGAAUGUUGUCUUGGGUCACCAUCAAGAUCUUGACCUGCCUAACUGAUGUGACUCAGGGAAAGAGGAAAAUGAUGUGAAGACAUCGUGCUCAAACAGAGGAAUCUAAAGGCUAGAGAUUUUCAGAUAACACUGUGGCACCAGUGUAACUCAGGUGGAGGACAUGGCUAAACAUCUCCUGAAUCUCUGCAAUACGUGGGGGGAAACUGAGACGGGCGAUCAGCAUGCGUGCAGGGAGGAAGGUGAUCCCAGCCCGAAGUAAGUGGGCUCACCCAGCGCCAUAGAGAGAAGCAUACAGGUGGGGGUUGUUUAUUGUAGCAUUCAGCCGUAGGUAGAGGAUUUAACGCUGACCAGCUUGCUACGAACAUAAUAUAUUAGCCUUGUAUUUAUUUAUUGCGGGACCCUUUAGUUUUAUUUAUUGACUGUCAUUCCCUGCUGUACUGCAGGCAAUGCUGUCACUGUAUUUUCUUAAAACUUUCACGAUAAAUUUGUAAACAUAAAAUAUUCCAGCUGUCACGUAUUUUUCUCCUGUGUUUUCCAGACACUUUGGCUUUUGUAGAAGUAAUGUCGGUUGUUUACUUGAUUCUGACUCUGAAAAAAAAAACCCUAGGUACUUUCUAGUUUCAGAUGUUUUGUGUGAUUGUAAAACAGAAAGAAACCAGUUUUGACUUGGAGAGCGAGCUACUGCAAACAAUCUGUUGCUAAUAUAGUCUAAUUGCUAGUGAUAUUUUGAGAAAACAAUUAAAUUGGAAGUGGGGUUACUUUGGUGUUUAUUGUCUGUGACAGCUUCUUUUGGAAACAGACUCUGAGAGCUGCCGAGCUGAGGCUGCGAUGAUGUGCAAAUAAUACGUAUCAUAAAUACAGCGCCAGCCGAGACGGGGGGAGUUGGAGACCCAGGAAUGUCGAGGCAGGCAACGAGAUGUCACCUUGGCAGAGGUGGGCAUCGUCCUGUGUUCAUGCCCUGGGGCAUCACUGCCGUCCUUCCUCUGUGCUAGGACCCUGAGGACACUUGGCUGCCUGCUGGUC
rnacentral:lncRNA from 1 species